rnacentral:rRNA from 1 species
UUGAAAGGGAAACGAUUGAAGUCAGUCGUACCUAUGGGUAAUCAGCCUUUUGGGUGUGAUUUUGUGGAGCGUGAGGAGUUAAACGCCUUCAUGCCUGCAUAUUCGUGCACUUUAGGUGUACUUGCCCGUGUGUAAGUUAACAUCAAUUUUGGUGGUCAUAAAAUGGCUGGAGGAAUGUAGCUUCGAUCUUGUAUUGAAGUGUUAUAGCCUUCGGUAGAUGUGACGAUCGGGAUUGAGGAUUGCAACGGAUACCCUUCGGGGCUACCUGUCUGAUCUCUGAUUGUUGCUCUGGUGCCGAAAGCUUGCUUACGGUUAUCAAAGUCGAUGUUCAAUAGGUUAGAAUGGGUUAAAUUCGUUAAG